AACGAACGCUGGCGGCGCGCCUAACACAUGCAAGUCGAACGGGACUGACUUGGUUGAAGUUUUCGGAUGGAUACCGAUUCAGUUUAGUGGCGAACGGGUGAGUAACGCGUGAGUAACCUGCCCUGGAGUGGGGGACAACAGUUGGAAACGACUGCUAAUACCGCAUAAGCCCACAGUGCCGCAUGGCACAGCGGGAAAAGGAUUUAUUCGCUUCAGGAUGGACUCGCGUCCAAUUGGCUAGUUGGUGAGGUAACGGCCCACCAAGGCGACGAUUGGUAGCCGGACUGAGAGGUUGAACGGCCACAUUGGGACUGAGACACGGCCCAGACUCCUACGGGAGGCAGCAGUGGGGGAUAUUGCACAAUGGGGGAAACCCUGAUGCAGCGACGCCGCGUGGAGGAAGAAGGUUUUCGGAUUGUAAACUCCUGUCGUUAGGGACGAAUAAUGACGGUACCUAACAAGAAAGCACCGGCUAACUCCGUGCCAGCCGCCGCCGUAAAAC
rnacentral:rRNA from 1 species